rnacentral:rRNA from 1 species
AGUGAUGUAUGAGUUAGUGGCGGACUGGUGAGUAACGCGUGGAGAACCUGCCGUAUACUGGGGGAUAACACUUAGAAAUAGGUGCUAAUACCGCAUAAGCGCACAGCUUCGCAUGAAGCAGUGUGAAAAACUCCGGUGGUAUACGAUGGAUCCGCGUCUGAUUAGCUGGUUGGCGGGGUAACAGCCCACCAAGGCGACGAUCAGUAGCCGGCCUGAGAGGGUGAACGGCCACAUUGGGACUGAGACACGGCCCAAACUCCUACGGGAGGCAGCAGUGGGGAAUAUUGCACAAUGGGGGAAACCCUGAUGCAGCGACGCCGCGUGAGUGAAGAAGUAUUUCGGUAUGUAAAGCUCUAUCAGCAGGGAAGAAAUACUGACCUUACGGUCAGCAGACGGUACCUGACUAAGAAGCCCCGGCUAACUACGUGCCAGCAGCCGCGGUAAUACGUAGGGGGCAAGCGUUAUCCGGAUUUACUGGGUGUAAAGGGAGCGUAGACGGCAGCGCAAGUCUGAAGUGAAAUCCCAUGGCUUAACCAUGGAACUGCUUUGGAAACUGUGCAGCUGGAGUGCAGGAGAGGUAAGCGGAAUUCCUAGUGUAGCGGUGAAAUGCGUAGAUAUUAGGAGGAACACCAGUGGCGAAGGCGGCUUACUGGACUGUAACUGACGUUGAGGCUCGAAAGCGUGGGGAGCAAACAGGAUUAGAUACCCUGGUAGUCCACGCCGUAAACGAUGAUUACUAGGUGUUGGGGGACCAAGGUCCUUCGGUGCCG